rnacentral:rRNA from 1 species
GACGAACGCUGGCGGCGCGCUUAACACAUGCAAGUCGAACGGUGAACCGGGCUUCGGCCCGGGGAUCAGUGGCGAACGGGUGCGUAACACGUGGGCAACCUGCCCCUCACUCUGGGAUAACCCCGGGAAACCGGAGCUAAUACCGGAUACUCCGACCGGUCCGCAUGGUCCGAUCGGGAAAGGUCCGCCGGUGAGGGAUGGGCCCGCGGCCUAUCAGCUUGUUGGUGAGGUAACGGCUCACCAAGGCGACGACGGGUAGCUGGUCUGAGAGGACGACCAGCCACACUGGGACUGAGAUACGGCCCAGACUCCUACGGGAGGCAGCAGUGGGGAAUCUUGCGCAAGGGGCGAAAGCCUGACGCAGCGACGCCGCGUGGGGGACGAAGGCCCUCGGGUUGUAAACCCCUUUCGGCAGGGACGAAGCGAUCGUGACGGUACCUGCAGAAGAAGCCUCGGCUAACUAUGUGCCAGCAGCCGCCGUAA